rnacentral:rRNA from 1 species
AGAGAGAGACAUGCGCGCAUAUCAAUAAGCGGAGGAAAAGAAACUAACAAGGAUUCCCUUAGUAACGGCGAGUGAAGCGGGAAGAGCUCAAAUUUGAAAUCUUCAAGGUUUUACCUUGACGAAUUGUAGUUUAAAGAAGUGUUUUCUGCUGAAGUUUUGGUAAAAGUUCUUUGGAAUAGGACAUCAUAGAGGGUGAGAAUCCCGUAUUUGACCAUUAUUUUCAGCUUUGUGAUACACUUUCAAAGAGUCGGAUUGUUUGGGAAUGCAGUCCAAAAUGGGUGGUGAAUUUCAUCUAAAGCUAAAUAUUGGCGAGAGACCGAUAGCGAACAAGUACCGUGAGGGAAAGAUGAAAAGAACUUUGAAAAGAGAGUUAAACAGUACGUGAAAUUGUCAAAAGGGGAAGCGUUUGACACCAGUGUUGUUUUCUCGAAAAUCAAUUAAAAAUGGCUCGAUUUUGUAUUGCUUGAGACCUUAAAAGCUCACUGUACAUUUUUCGUGUCUUUUUUAAUGCACUUUUCGUUUAACAAGUCAACAUCAGUUUCUUUUGUUGUAAAAGGGUCAUUGGAAGGUGGCUUUCUUUUCGGAGAAAGUGUUUAUAGCCUUUGGCCUCUGCAAUCGAAGAGACUGAGGUCUGCAGCGUAGACUCUUCGGGGCUAGAUACAUUUGUGCUAAGUUAUAGCUUUUUAUAGACAACUUGUUGACUAUAAUUAGUCUUGUAGCUUACUCGCUUAUGCUAUUUUACCUACGCUUAGGAUGUUGAAGAUGUAGCACAUCAU